GGCCUCUCUGGUGUAGCCCAGGAUGGCUUUGCAUUCACUAUGCAGCCCAGGAUAGUCUCAUUGUCACAGUUCUCUUGCCUCUGCUCCGAGUGCUGGGAAUUACAGUGUUAUCGCAUCUUUUGUGAACUUUUGACGUCAAAGACUGUCUUAGUUGCUGGGAUAAAGAACAUGACCAAAAGCAUUUGGGCAGGACAGAGUUCAUUUCAGCUUAUGACUCAGAGCCACCCAGGAAACUUGGAAGACAUGAGGAGAUCUCUGCCUUAUUCUUCUUCACUGAGUCUGGACCUGUGUGUUGCUAAUUACCUCUCCAGAUAUUCUGGACUUCAAAAUGUUUGAGAACUUUUUCUUCUAAUGACUAUGGGAUGGGUUCACAGUCGAGUCUCCUAUAUUCAGCACCCAAAGUCCCUCCCCUUACUCAGCAGCAAACGCCUUACAUUAUGAGAAUCACAGGGACCCCACAGUUAAUCGAUCUGUAAUAAAACAACCAGUGUCCCGCCUCGACAUUGUGAGCCAGGGCCAGGAGGAACUGAGCCAAGCCAGUCUGGCAGAGACUACCACGUGUCUUGCCUUUCCUUCUUCUAGAAAUAUCCGGGCUUUUUUUUUUUUUUUUCAUAAUGCUUAAAUUGCUACAGUGACAAGCAGAGGCCUAAGUUGUGGUAACAUAGACAGGAAGGAAAUUGGCUAAUACUAAAAUGGGAAAAGGCACUUCAAGAGUUCACAAAAACCAUUGGCUUAACAUUGACAGACAUCAGAGGUCAAUAAAAGUUUUAAAGAUUCUGUACGUCUGCCUUAUUUCUGUCCUUCAAGUGGCUCCAUGUAUUUAGAGAGACCAUAUAUACCCCAGAUUAAUAAUUUAAAAUUUAAAAUGAACACAAAUCAAAAAGAACACGAGAGUGUAGUAGACAGGCUGAAUGAGUGGAUACAAUAAAAUCACAACUGCGAGAUGAAUGAAUAAGGAUAAUGGCAUAUAUACAGUAAUAAAACCUCUCACUCUCUAGGCUAACUUAAAAUUUUUUUUUUUGGUUCUUUUUUUUCG
ensembl:lncRNA